UACGUAGGGGGCAAGCGUUGUCCGGAUUUAUUGGGCGUAAAGAGCGUGUAGGCGGCCUGAAAGGUCAGCUGUGAAAACUCGAGGCUCAACCUCGAGACGUCGGUUGAAACCAUCUGGCUAGAGUCCGGAAGAGGAGAGUGGAAUUCCCGGUGUAGCGGUGAAAUGCGCAGAUAUCGGGAAGAACACCCGUGGCGAAGGCGGCUCUCUGGGACGGUACUGACGCGUGAGACGCGGAAAGCGUGGGGAGCGAACAGG
rnacentral:rRNA from 1 species